UAUGGCCACAUCAUGUCGAUGCACCGGUUCCUGUACGAUCAUCGGAGUUAAGCAACGUCAAGCCUGUCCAGUACCUAGAUUGGUGACCACUAGGGAUACCAGUGCUGUAU